UACGGAGGGUGCGAGCGUUGUCCGGAAUCAUUGGGCGUAAAGGGCGCGUAGGUGGCCCGGUCAGUUCGUGGUGAAAGCGCGGGGCUCAACCCUGCGUCGGCCAUGAAUACUGCCGCGGCUGGAGCACUGUAGAGGCAGGCGGAAUUCCGGGUGUAGCGGUGGAAUGCGUAGAGAUCCGGAAGAACACCCGUGGCUAAGGCGGCUACUCUAGUACGGUACUGACGCUGAGACGCGAAAGCGUGGGGAGCGAACAGGA
rnacentral:rRNA from 1 species